rnacentral:rRNA from 1 species
UACGGGGGGGGCAAGCGUUGUUCGGAAUUACUGGGCGUAAAGGGCUCGUAGGCGGCCAACUAAGUCAGACGUGAAAUCCCUCGGCUUAACCGGGGAACUGCAUCUGAUACUGGAUGGCUUGAGAUUGGGAGAGGGAUGCGGAAUUCCAGGUGUAGCGGUGAAAUGCGUAGAUAUCUGGAGGAACACCGGUGGCGAAGGCGGCAUCCUGGACCAACACUGACACUGAGGAGCGAAAGCGUGGAGAGCGAACAGG